AGUGAACGCUGGCGGUAGGCCUAACACAUGCAAGUCGAACGGCAGCACAGUAAGAGCUUGCUCUUACGGGUGGCGAGUGGCGGACGGGUGAGGAAUACAUCGGAAUCUACUUUUUCGUGGGGGAUAACGUAGGGAAACUUACGCUAAUACCGCAUACGACCUACGGGUGAAAGCAGGGGAUCUUCGGACCUUGCGCGAUUGAAUGAGCCGAUGUCGGAUUAGCUAGUUGGCGGGGUAAAGGCCCACCAAGGCGACGAUCCGUAGCUGGCCUGAGAGGAUGAUCAGCCACACUGGAACUGAGACACGGUCCAGACUCCUACGGGAGGCAGCAGUGGGGAAUAUUGGACAAUGGGCGCGAGCCUGAUCCAGCCAUACCGCGUGGGUGAAGAAGGCCUUCGGGUUGUAAAGCCCUUUUGUUGGGAAAGAAAAGCAGCAGGUUAAUACCCCGCUGUUCUGACGGUACCCAAAGAAUAAGCACCGGCUAACUUCGUG
rnacentral:rRNA from 1 species